rnacentral:rRNA from 1 species
UACGUAGGUCCCGAGCGUUGUCCGGAUUUAUUGGGCGUAAAGCGAGCGCAGGUGGUUUGUUAAGUCUGGUGUAAAAGGCAGUGGCUCAACCAUUGUAUGCACUGGAAACUGGUAGACUUGAGUGCAGGAGAGGAGAGUGGAAUUCCAUGUGUAGCGGUGAAAUGCGUAGAUAUAUGGAGGAACACCGGUGGCGAAAGCGGCUCUCUGGCCUGUAACUGAUGCUGAGGCUCGAAAGCGUGGGGAGCAAACAGG